GCAGUGUUAUUGACCAAACUGAGGAGGUAAAGCACUGAGUUUUCACCUUGGUAGCCUAUUGAAGAAUCUAAUGUCUGAUUGGUGAGAUGAAGCUGCAGGUACAGAGCUGAAGGACCAGUUCGGUGAACUCUGGUGGUCUCUACAGGUGUACUCACAACUGUGCAGGCCUGCUGUUUCACACAGGUACAUAAGGCAGCACUCACCUGAGGUGAGAGAGUCAGAUCUGUAGCAAGGGAACUCUACUGUAUCGAACAUCUGAUCUGAACCAGAGGAACUGUACUGUAUGCAACGCCUGAAGCAGUGGAUCUUCAUGAACUGCAGCCAUGAGCAGACAUGAAGCUCAGAUAUCUCUUAUGUCAUGAAAUGUA